AUUAUUUAGGUCUAAAACUAAUCCCGAAGGUAGAUGUAGAGGUAGCGUGCCGACCGCGAUCACAUCGACUUUGGAACCAUUUCCCACGCGCAUCGUCACCUCGUCCUUUGCCAGAGUUCGCUUAAUCCGUAGUCCCUGUUUCGAGUUGCAAAUAUUAGCAACAGAACCAGUAUCAAAUACCCAGGUGCUACUACGAGCUCUAGUAAGGUACACAUCAAUAACAUGUAUAUCACAUAUACCUUUGUUCACCUUGCCAUCCUUCUUAUCCGCCAAAUACUUGGGGCAGUUCCGUUUCCAGUGACCAGUCUGCUUGCAGUA
rnacentral:lncRNA from 1 species